GUGGGGAAUAUUGGACAAUGGGGGGAACCCUGAUCCAGCCAUGCCGCGUGUGUGAAGAAGGCCUUUUGGUUGUAAAGCACCUUAAGCGAGGAGGAGGCUACCGAGAUUAAUACUCUUGGAUAGUGGACGUUACUCGCAGAAUAAGCACCGGCUAACUCUGUGCCAGCAGCCGCGGUAAUACAGAGGGUGCAAGCGUUAAUCGGAUUUACUGGGCGUAAAGCGCGCGUAGGUGGCCAAUUAAGUCAAAUGUGAAAUCCCCGAGCUUAACUUGGGAAUUGCAUUCGAUACUGGUUGGCUAGAGUAUGGGAGAGGAUGGUAGAAUUCCAGGUGUAGCGGUGAAAUGCGUAGAGAUCUGGAGGAAUACCGAUGGCGAAGGCAGCCAUCUGGCCUAAUACUGACACUGAGGUGCGAAAGCAUGGGGAGCAAACAGGAUUAGAAACCCUGGUAGUCC
rnacentral:rRNA from 1 species